rnacentral:rRNA from 1 species
AGCAGCCGCGGUAAUUCCAGCUCCAAUAGCGUAUAUUAAAGUUGUUGCAGUUAAAAAGCUCGUAGUUGAAUCUCGGAACCAAUAUGUCGGUCGUGCCUCGGUACGUACUGGUGUCAUUGGUUUCUCCCUUCUGAGGAUCCUUGAUGUCAUUAAUUUGGUGUCUUGGGAAAUCAGGACUGUUACCUUGAAAAAUUAGAGUGUUUAAAGCAGGCAUACGCUUGAAUACAUUAGCAUAGAAUAAUGAAAUAGGACGUUCGAUUCUAUUUUGUUGGUUUCUAGGAUCGACGUAAUGAUUAAUAGGGAUAGUUGGGGGC